rnacentral:tRNA from 1 species
GGGGCUGUAGCUCAGUAGUAGAGCACACGCCUCCCAUAUGUGAGGCCCUGAGUUUGAUCCUCAGCACCA